rnacentral:rRNA from 1 species
AUUGAACGCUGGCGGCAGGCCUAACAUAUGCAAGUCGGACGGUAGCACAGAGGAGCUUGCUCCUUGGGUGACGAGUGGCGGACGGGUGAGUAAUGUCUGGGGAUCUGCCCGAUAGAGGGGGAUAACCACUGGAAACGGUGGCUAAUACCGCAUAACGUCGCAAGACCAAAGAGGGGGACCUUCGGGCCUCUCACUAUCGGAUGAACCCAGAUGGGAUUAGCUAGUAGGCGGGGUAAUGGCCCACCUAGGCGACGAUCCCUAGCUGGUCUGAGAGGAUGACCAGCCACACUGGAACUGAGACACGGUCCAGACUCCUACGGGAGGCAGCAGUGGGGAAUAUUGCACAAUGGGCGCAAGCCUGAAGCAGCCAUGCCGCGUGUAUGAAGAAGGCCUUCGGGUUGUAAAGUACUUUCAGCGGGGAGGAAGGCGAUGGGGUUAAUAACCUUAUCGAUUGACGUUACCCGCAGAAGAAGCACCGGCUAACUCCGUGCCAGCAGCCGCGGUAAUACGGAGGGUGCAAGCGUUAAUCGGAAUUACUGGGCGUAAAGCGCACGCAGGCGGUCUGUUAAGUCAGAUGUGAAAUCCCCGGGCUUAACCUGGGAACUGCAUUUGAAACUGGCAGGCUUGAGUCUUGUAGAGGGGGGUAGAAUUCCAGGUGUAGCGGUGAAUUGCGUAGAGAUCUGGAGGAAUACCGGUGGCGAAGGCGGCCCCCUGGACAAAGACUGACGCUCAGGUGCGAAAGCGUGGGAGCAAACAGGAUUAGAUACCCU